CCCCGGGUGCCUGCGAUGGCUGGGCCUGGAGCCAGGGGAGCACAGUCCAGGUCUCCCAAGUGGGUGGCACAUACCCAGUGACUUGCACUACCACAGCUGUCUCUCAGGGGCUACAUUAGCAGGAAGCUGGAGUCAAGAGGUGGAGCAGGAAUCAAACCCAGGCACUGCAAUAUAGGAGGCAGGCAUCUUACCCACUGGGCUAAAUGCCUGCUCCCUUAAGCACUCUACAAGCAACUCAUUCCACCCUCAGAACAUUUCUCUGAGAAUCUGCAGGAUAGAAAAGAGGGUGAUAAUUUUCCUGCCCAUCAUAAAGAGUCACGACCCAGGUAAGCAUAACAAGUGUUUUUGAUCACAGUUUCACAUGACAUGGGAACCUUCCUUUAGAAGAUCCACAGACCUAGGAGAACU